AUGAGGGUGCUGAGGCAUCAUCAUCAUCAAGACUACUGCGCCUGCGUCCAGCACGCCAACGCCCCCACCAAAGCUCAACACAGCUCUGUGACAACAGUAGCGCAUGUCCAACAAUUCUUGAACGAGUGGAAGAUCCAAUGCUUGGUGUUGGUGAGCCUCUCCCUGCAAGUCUUCCUCCUCUUCUCGGCAGGCUUCCGGAAGCACCACAUCUCUCACGUGCUCAGCAUGUUGUUAUGGCUGGCCUAUCUGUCGGCUGACUCCAUAGCGGUCUACAUCCUCGGCCACCUCACGCUCCACACCAGCGAGGACGACCCGCGUCACCAGCUGGUGCUUUUUUGGGCGCCCUUCCUGCUGCUACACCUUGGCGGGCAAGAUACUAUCACCGCCUUCUCCAUGGAGGACUGCUCUCUGUGGAAGCGGCAUCUGCUAAACCUGACAACCCAGUUGGCCAUGGCCAUCUACGUUGUGGGCGAGCAGUUGUGA
rnacentral:rRNA from 1 species